rnacentral:lncRNA from 1 species
CCCAAGAUCAUAUAACGAGAGAACAACUCAUUCCCUUUAACCGAUGUGGAACAUUCUAACAUUAGCAAUGCUAGAAAACAAUGUGGUAGUACCAUAUCCUGCCGCUUUACAUUUACAUGCUUCAGGACUAAAAGAAACUUAUCAUUAAGAUUUAGGUUGACAAAAACCAAGUUCUUCAUCAGGGCUCAAGGGAAGAAGAGAAAAAUGAAGAUAACAGAGGUAGGUGAGAGGGAGACAGAGAGGAUGAGAGAGAGAAGACAAGUUAACUUCGACCCUUGCAAGACUAACAGCACAAUAGGACCUCCAGUUACCUUCAUCAUAUCAUGAUGCCCUAUAUUACAAGUACUACGAGGUCAAACCUGUACCUACACUUGGUUGUCUGAAUGAGUUGCUCCAUAUUUUUAUUAUGGGGUUAAAAAUUAAAAUCCGCACAAAAGACUAAUUUACUUAGCUCAUUGCACUUGACUUAUCAUUAAUGUCAAAUAGCUAACACACGCAUCCGAGGCAGCAAAAGAGUCAUCUCCAAUCAAAAGUGAUGUAGCCUUGUGGCAGCACGUUGUCAUACCUGCUGCCUUCAGCUCAAGCUCGCACCUACUUUUUUCAGCUCAAACUGUAUAUGCAGUUGAAAUUUUGUUUAGAAAUACAAAUAAGUUCCCACCACCACCAUCAACAACUUAGCCUCAAUCCCAAACGAGUUGUAUACUUACCGGCAAUGAUUCUUCAUUUAAAUUCAUCUCACACCUACACUAAAAUAGUGUACGGGAUGGUCUAAAAUCACGGGUCUGCUUCUACCUAAUUAUAGAUGCGGGUUUUCCUUCUUCUGAAGUUUUAUUCCAAACAAUAAGAUUAUCAAAUGAAGCCAACGACAUCAGGUAUGGUGCAAAUGUGUCGUAACAGAACUACUCCAGGAAUCUAAAAGACGAAAGACAGAGUUAAGAGACAGCAGAUAAUAGUUCCAUACGAAACACGAAGUAAUAAACUUUACUGAAAAUUUAUAGAAACAAGUAAAGUUGCAUAAAAUAAAAUAACAAAAGGGGUAAAAGAUAAGAAUGAGAUGACGAAAUUAACAUGAGGACACAACUAACUGCUACAAGAAACAAAGCCAAAGAGAAGAGGCUCCGGCAUACCAGCCAACGGUGCACUAUAAUUUCACGAGAACCAAAUAUUAGCCGGAAAAUGGGAGCUGAAAAAGAAAUGCAAAGAAAAACCGAAUUACCAAGAUGAAAUGUCAAAACCUAGCUAUACAUGAUGAAAGGAGCUAACUUGAGCAUUUUAACAAGCAAAGUUUCACAAAUUUGGUAAAAUCAUAGCUCAAAACCGAGUUUUGAUGAAUAAGUAAGACUUGAUCUGAAGGAAGUUGAGUGAAAGAGCAAACUUGAAAGUGGACUUACUGGAUUGGUGGUGACAGGUGGAGAAAAAUGAUAGGUCGGCGGCAAAUUUCGCCGGAGAAUCAGACCAUCUUGGAACAAGGGUUUCUUUGUCGGGAUGCCGCAAAGAGAGAAAAGAGGAAAGUGUCUGUUGGAAUGUUGACUGCUAUUUUAUGACAGCUUCUCGACACAAACCACUACACGCGCGCGCGCGCACACGUAUAUGUUCUCUCUCCUUUUUCUU